UGGGGAAUAUUGGACAAUGGGCGAAAGCCUGAUCCAGCCAUGCCGCGUGUGUGAAGCAGGUCUUCGGAUUGUAAAGCACUUUAAGUUGGGAGGAAGGGCAGUAAGCGAAUACCUUGCUGUUUUGACGUUACCGACAGAAUAAGCACCGGCUAACUCUGUGCCAGCAGCCGCGGUAAUACAGAGGGUGCAAGCGUUAAUCGGAAUUACUGGGCGUAAAGCGCGCAUAGGUGGUUCGUUAAGUUGAAUGUGAAAGCCCCGGGCUCAACCUGGGAACUGCAUCCAAAACUGGCGAGCUAGAGUAGGGCAGAGGGUGGUGGAAUUUCCUGUGUAGCGGUGAAAUGCGUAGAUAUAGGAAGGAACACCAGUGGCGAAGGCGACCACCUGGGCUCAUACUGACACUGAGGUGCGAAAGCGUGGGGAGCAAACAGG
rnacentral:rRNA from 1 species